AAUGAACGCUGGCGGCGCGCCUAAUACAUGCAAGUCGAGCGAGAAGACGUAGCAAUACGUUUGUAAAGCGGCGAACGGGUGAGGAAUACAUGGGUAACCUACCCUCGAGUGGGGAAUAACUAGCCGAAAGGUUAGCUAAUACCGCGUACGCUCCUUGGACUUCGGUUCAGGGAGGAAAGCGAUACCGUGGGUAUCGCGCUCUUGGUUGGGCUCAUGUCCUAUCAGCUUGUUGGNGAGGUAACGGCUCACCAAGGCUUCGACGGGUAGCUGGUCUGAGAGGACGAUCAGCCACACUGGCACUGCGACACGGGCCAGACUCCUACGGGAGGCAGCAGUAAGGAAUAUUGCGCAAUGGGCGAAAGCCUGACGCAGCGACGCCGCGUGGGGG
rnacentral:rRNA from 1 species